rnacentral:rRNA from 1 species
UACGGAGGGGGCUAGCGUUGUUCGGAAUUACUGAGCGUAAAGCGCACGUAGGCGGCUUUGUAAGUCAGAGGUGAAAGCCCGGAGCUCAACUCCGGAAUUGCCUUUGAGACUGCAUCGCUUGAAUCCGGGAGAGGUGAGUGGAAUUCCGAGUGUAGAGGUGAAAUUCGUAGAUAUUCGGAAGAACACCAGUGGCGAAGGCGGCUCACUGGACCGGUAUUGACGCUGAGGUGCGAAAGCGUGGGGAGCAAACAGG